rnacentral:misc_RNA from 1 species
GUGAAGAACGUAGCGAAAUGCGAUAAGUAAUGUGAAUUGCAGAAUUCAGUGAAUCAUCGAAUCUUUGAACGCACAUUGCGCCCGCUAGUAUUCUAGCGGGCAUGCCUGUUCGAGCGUCAUUUCAACCAUCAAGCCCCAGGUUUGUGUUGGAGCCCUGCGGCCGUCCGCAGCCUCCUAAAAUCAGUGGCGGGCUCGCUAUCACACCGAGUGCAGUAGUUUACUCUUCGCUCAGGACGUGUAGCGGGUUCCGGCCGUGAAACCCCCCAAUUUUCAAGGUUGACCUCGGAUCAGGUAGGAAUACCCGCUGAACUUAAGCAUAUCAAUAAGCGGAGGA